rnacentral:rRNA from 1 species
GACAGAGGGUGCGAACGUUGUUCGGAAUUACUGGGCGUAAAGCGCGUGUAGGCGGCAACGCAAGUCGGGCGUGAAAUCCCACGGCUCAACCGUGGAAGUGCACUCGAAACUGCGUAGCUAGAGUCCUGGAGAGGAAGGUGGAAUGCUUGGUGUAGAGGUGAAAUUCGUAGAUAUCAAGCGGAACACCGGUGGCGAAGGCGACCUUCUGGACAGUGACUGACGCUGAGACGCGAAAGCGUGGGGAGCAAACAGG